AUAUAACUAUGUUGACCAGAGUAAGCGUGCCAAGAUAGUGGAUGGGGAUUCUAAUGCCGCAAUCGUAUACCUAGAGGGAAAGGCAGUUGCAGACCUAAUGAGCAUGUCAAGAUACAAUUUAACUAAGGAUAACAUGUUGGCAAACAUGUUUUGGGCCGACGGAGGUAGCAGGACUGAUUAUCAAUUUUUUGGGGACGUUCUUGCAUUUGACUCAACGUAUAAGAAGAAUAAGUACAAAAGACCAUUGGUGAUAUUUUCAGGUUCUAACAAUCAUAAACAUACCACAAUUUUUGGAUUCGGGCUAGUGCUAGAUGAGAGCAUUGGGUCGUACAAGUGGCUUUUAGAAAAUUUGCUAGAAGUGAUGUGUAACAAGAUGCCUUCGGUUGUUGUCACCGAUGGUUGUGACUCAAUGAAAGCUGCCAUAAAGUCAGUUUUUUCGAAGGCAACCCAUAGGUUAUGCGCGUGGCACAUGGAAAAAAAAGUCACUGUGAAUGUUAAAGAUGCUGGGUUGCGUCAACUUUUCAAAAAGUGGUUGUAUGCUGAUAUGGAGAUCGAGGAUUUUGAAGAAGAGUGGGCAACAGCUAUGGAGGAGCAUGGUUUGCAUGACACCUUUUGGUUUAGGGAAACUUAUGAGAAGAGAAGCAUGUGGGCCAAUGCAUACCUUCGCGACAAGUUCUGUGCUGGGUUUCGGACAACUUCUCGGUGUGAAGGGAUCAACUCGAAUGUUAAAAAAUUUUUAAAGUCAAGACAUAGCAUCCUUGAGAUGGUACAAAACCUUGAACUGCUUGUGUGAGAGUAUCGGAAUAACAAACUACUUGCACAAUUUAGAUCAAUAAAUGGCGUUCCAGUGAUGACUACUUGCCUAGACCCCAUUGAGAAGUUUGUUGCGAGUGUUUAUACGCGAGAGUUGUUUGCUGAUGUGAAGAAAGAGAUAGAAGGUGUUGGUGCCGUGAACUUCGUGGCAAAAGUGAGACGAUCUACCACGAUGGUGUACACGUUGGAGGAGUAUAGGGAGCCCGGAAGACACCUAAUUGUGUUGUAUGAUAGGGUUUUAAGCAAUCUUGUGUGUCCCUGCUAUUUUUGGAACAAAAAAGGGUAUCCAUGUCGACACAUGUUCUUCGUGAUGAAAUACGAGCACCUAACAGAAAUACCUGACCGGUUGGUGUUGAAAAAAUGGAGGCAAGAUGCGAAGUCGUUGGAGCACUAUGUUGAGGUUACAGACGAUGGUAGUGAGAGGAGUAUUUUACUUCGACAUGGGGCACUCCAUACUGCGUCACAAUGGAUGUUGUUUGUCGGGUCAAGAAAGUCGUCAUUCUUCAUAAAGGCGAUGAAUGGGAUACGUGCAAUAUGUGAGGAUCUUGAAGCAAACUGCAAAGAUUUUAGCGGUGCAAAGAAACAAACGAACGUGUCUCAUAUCAACGACCCAGUUGUCGUGAAAACGAAGGGAGCUCCUCGGGUGAAAAGGCAAAAUGGUAAGAAACGACGGUGCGGCAAGUAUAGGAAAUUCGGUCACAACAAAAGACAGUGCCGGGGUCGGGGUGAGGACAUGGCAUCGAAUCGUGAAGAGCAGUUACAAGAGGAGGGAGUUGCUGGUUUUGGAUCGGAAGGGUCAUCCCCAACAGAAUUUCUUGCAGGUUCGAUGUUCAGUAUCGACUGCCUAUAAGAAUGAGAGGGGUUGGGAAUAUUCUCGUGGUCUGAAUGCUGAUGGGCACAGUGAGUUUGUCGACCAAGCUGCUAAGGAGAACAAUGGAGAUCAAUUGAUGCAGAUGAUGAGCAAGAUUAGUGCAAUGAGUGCAAGGCUGGUAGACAUGCUUGGACAUCGUAGUUGAAAAAGAUGGUAACGAAAGCAUCGUUCUGAUGAAUCUAAGUGGAGGGCUGUUUGUUGUUGUGUUUCCAGCAACAAUAGAAUAGGGCAUUGGACUAGUGAAACUUAUUGCCUUGUAUGAGCCAAAUUUCUUAUUAGACAACUAGAUUCCACAAGUUAUGAAUUAUGAAUGUUUCCUGCCAUAUUUACUCUUUUUUUGUUGGUAUUGACACUUGGCCUUUAUUUCAUGGUUAUACAUAGAAAUGAGAAAAAAAAAAGGUUGGCCUUUA